rnacentral:rRNA from 1 species
CCCAGACUCCUACGGGAGGCAGCAGUGGGGGAUAUUGCACAAUGGGGGGAACCCUGAUGCAGCGACGCCGCGUGGGUGAAGAAGCGCCUCGGCGCGUAAAGCCCUGUCAGCAGGGAAGAAAAUGACGGUACCUGAAGAAGAAGCCCCGGCUAACUACGUGCCAGCAGCCGCGGUAAUACGUAGGGGGCAAGCGUUAUCCGGAUUUACUGGGUGUAAAGGGGGCGCAGACGGCGAUGCAAGCCAGGAGUGAAAGCCCGGGGCCCAACCCCGGGACUGCUCUUGGAACUGCGUGGCUGGAGUGCAGGAGGGGCAGGCGGAAUUCCUGGUGUAGCGGUGAAAUGCGUAGAUAUCAGGAGGAACACCGGUGGCGAAGGCGGCCUGCUGGACUGCAACUGACGUUGAGGCCCGAAAGCGUGGGGAGUAAACAGGAUUAGAUACCCGCGUA